AUGCUAACUCAUCAGAUGUGAAGUCACAGAUUACUGCAGAAGAUGUCACCAUUCUAAGGCUAAAGAUGUGGUUGUUCAUAUCAAUCAACUAUAUCGGUUGUUGAAAGUGGAUUGGAUGAGAAGGUUAACACAAACAAGGAAACUGAAAAGCAAGGUGCUGAUUUUGAACAAAGGCAUAUGGAAGUUGAUAUUCCUCAUCGUAGCUCUGAAAAUCAUGCAGGAAAUGACCGAAGCAUAAAGUCUGCGACAGUAAUUGAUGGAGCAGAGGAAGUUGAUUCAAGUCUUGGGGCUGCAAUGGAUGUUCAAAGCAGGUUCCUGAUUCAAAAAAUGAUGGUUUUGAUGCUGAUAAGAUGUUAAAGUGGAAGAAAAGUCUGUUGAAAUUGAGACAGUGGGUGUUGGCUCUGAAAACCAUGAAGCCUCAAAAUCUGAUAACAAUUUCGAACCAAGUACUUUCCCCAAAUUCUUUGGGAAAUGCAGAUCUGCUAGCUGAGAAUGCAGCUUCUAAGGGUGAUUCCAGGGUAGCACAAGAUAUGAAUGUUGAAGAACAAGUUUCUAGUGAUGAACAUGAUGGUUUAGACCAAUUGC